GGAAUAUUGGACAAUGGGCGAAAGCCUGAUCCAGCCAUGCCGCGUGUGUGAAGAAGGUCUUCGGAUUGUAAAGCACUUUAAGUUGGGAGGAAGGGUUGUAGAUUAAUACUCUGCAAUUUUGACGUUACCGACAGAAUAAGCACCGGCUAACUCUGUGCCAGCAGCCGCGGUAAUACAGAGGGUGCAAGCGUUAAUCGGAAUUACUGGGCGUAAAGCGCGCGUAGGUGGUUUGUUAAGUUGAAUGUGAAAUCCCCGGGCUCAACCUGGGAACUGCAUCCAAAACUGGCAAGCUAGAGUAUGGUAGAGGGUGGUGGAAUUUCCUGUGUAGCGGUGAAAUGCGUAGAUAUAGGAAGGAACACCAGUGGCGAAGGCGACCACCUGGACUGAUACUGACACUGAGGUGCGAAAGCGUGGGGAGCAAACAGGAUUAGAUACCCCAG
rnacentral:rRNA from 1 species